rnacentral:rRNA from 1 species
GCAAGUCGAGCGGAAACGAUGGGAGCUUGCUCCCAGGCGUCGAGCGGCGGACGGGUGAGUAACGCGUAGGAAUCUGCCCAGUAGAGGGGGAUAGCCCGGGGAAACCCGGAUUAAUACCGCAUACGCCCUACGGGGGAAAGGCCGGGAUCUUCGGACCGGUCACUAUUGGAUGAGCCUGCGUGAGAUUAGCUAGUUGGUGGGGUAAAGGCCUACCAAGGCGACGAUCUAUAGCUGGUUUUAGAGGACGAUC